rnacentral:rRNA from 1 species
UACGUAGGGUGCAAGCGUUAAUCGGAAUUACUGGGCGUAAAGCGUGCGCAGGCGGUUUUGUAAGUCAGAUGUGAAAUCCCCGGGCUUAACCUGGGAAUGGCCGUUGAAACUGGCGAACUGGAGUGUGGCAGAGGGGGGUGGAAUUCCGCGUGUAGCAGUGAAAUGCGUAGAGAUGCGGAGGAACACCGAUGGCGAAGGCAGCCCCCUGGGCUAACACUGACGCUCAGGCACGAAAGCGUGGGGAGCAAACAGG